rnacentral:rRNA from 1 species
CAGUAGCCGCGGUAAUACGAAGGGGGCUAGCGUUGCUCGGAAUGACUGGGCGUAAAGGGCGCGUAGGCGGCGAUCAAAGUCAGGCGUGAAAUUCCUGGGCUCAACCUGGGGGCUGCGCUUGAUACUUGGUUGCUUGAGUGGGGAAGAGGGUCGUGGAAUCCCCAGUGUAGAGGUGAAAUUCGUAGAUAUUGGGAAGAACACCGGUGGCGAAGGCGGCGACCUGGUCCUUGACUGACGCUGAGGCGCGAAAGCGUGGGGAGCAAACAGGAUUAGAUACCCCCGUAGUCCCUGUCUCUUAUAC